UUCCUUAUUCGUAUAAUAUAUAAGGUAUAACCUGCUCAAUGAAUUUUAAAUAGCCGCGGUGUUUAAUCGUGCUAAGGUAGCAUAAUAAUUUGUCUUUUAAUUAAGGUCUAGAAUGAAUGGUUGAACGAGAAAUUAACUUUUUUAAUUAAAUUUUUAUUAACUUUAUUUUUUAGUCAAAAAGCUAAAAUUAUUUUAUAUGACGAUAAGACCCUAUAAAAUUUUAUUUUUAAUUUUUUUAAAGUAUUUUUAUAUUUAUUUUCUUUAAUUGUAUUAAAAAUUUGGUUGGGGUGACUAUUUUAUUUAAUUAACUAUAAUUUUUAUAUUUCAUAAAUUUAUGAAUUAUUGAUCCUAAAUUUUAGAUUAUAAGAUUAAAUUACUUUAGGGAUAACCAGCGUAUUUCUUUGGAAAGUUCUUAUUAAUAAGGAAGAUUGCGA
rnacentral:rRNA from 1 species